rnacentral:rRNA from 1 species
GAUGAACGCUGGCGGCGUGCCUAAUACAUGCAAGUCGAGCGAACGGACGAGAAGCUUGCUUCUCUGAUGUUAGCGGCGGACGGGUGAGUAACACGUGGAUAACCUACCUAUAAGACUGGGAUAACUUCGGGAAACCGUAGCUAAUACCGGAUAAUAUUUUGAACCGCAUGGUUCAAAAGUGAAAGACGGUCUUGCUGUCACUUAUAGAUGGAUCCGCGCUGCAUUAGCUAGUUGGUAAGGUAACGGCUUACCAAGGCAACGAUGCAUAGCCGACCUGAGAGGGUGAUCGGCCACACUGGAACUGAGACACGGUCCAGACUCCUACGGGAGGCAGCAGUAGGGAAUCUUCCGCAAUGGGCGAAAGCCUGACGGAGCAACGCCGCGUGAGUGAUGAAGGUCUUCGGAUCGUAAAACUCUGUUAUUAGGGAAGAACAGAUGUGUAAGUAACUGUGCACAUCUUGACGGUACCUAAUCAGAAAGCCACGGCUAACUACGUG